GAUGAACGCUGGCUACAGGCUUAACACAUGCAAGUCGAGGGGAAACGACGGGGAAGCUUGCUUCCCCGGGCGUCGACCGGCGCACGGGUGAGUAACGCGUAUCCAACCUGCCUCUGACUGAGGGAUAACCCGUCGAAAGUCGGCCUAAUACCUCAUGGCAUCGUCUGCGGGCAUCCAACGACGAUUAAAGAUUUCAUCGGUCAGGGAUGGGGAUGCGUCUGAUUAGCUUGUUGGCGGGGUAACGGCCCACCAAGGCUACGAUCAGUAGGGGUUCUGAGAGGCAGGUCCCCCACAUUGGAACUGAGACACGGUCCAAACUCCUACGGGAGGCAGCAGUGAGGAAUAUUGGUCAAUGGGCGGGAGCCUGAACCAGCCAAGUAGCGUGCAGGAUGACGGCCAUAUGGGUUGUAAACUGCUUUUAUGCGGGGAUAAAGUGAGGGACGUGUCCUUCAUUGCAGGUACCGCAUGAAUAAGGACCGGCUAAUUCCGUG
rnacentral:rRNA from 1 species